rnacentral:rRNA from 1 species
CCUACGGGAGGCAGCAGUAGGGAAUCUUCCGCAAUGGACGAAAGUCUGACGGAGCAACGCCGCGUGAGUGAUGAAGGCUUUCGGGUCGUAAAACUCUGUUGUUAGGGAAGAACAAGUGCUAGUUGAAUAAGCUGGCACCUUGACGGUACCUAACCAGAAAGCCACGGCUAACUACGUGCCAGCAGCCGCGGUAAUACGUAGGUGGCAAGCGUUAUCCGGAAUUAUUGGGCGUAAAGCGCGCGCAGGUGGUUUCUUAAGUCUGAUGUGAAAGCCCACGGCUCAACCGUGGAGGGUCAUUGGAAACUGGGAGACUUGAGUGCAGAAGAGGAAAGUGGAAUUCCAUGUGUAGCGGUGAAAUGCGUAGAGAUAUGGAGGAACACCAGUGGCGAAGGCGACUUUCUGGUCUGUAACUGACACUGAGGCGCGAAAGCGUGGGGAGCAAACAGGAUUAGAUACCCUGGUAGUCCACGCCGUAAACGAUGAGUGCUAAGUGUUAGAGGGUUUCCGCCCUUUAGUGCUGAAGUUAACGCAUUAAGCACUCCGCCUGGGGAGUACGGCUGCAAGGCUGAAACUCAAAGGAAUU